CUUCCAGUGAGUGGUCCCUUGGUAGACAGCUUGUCGUCCAUGUCGAUGUCAAAACUACUUGGACAAAAAGAUAUCUUGAAAAUUAGUUCUCUGAAAAUGGAAAACAGUAUGGCAGAAAUGAGACAGAGACUGUCACCUCAUGCCAUAUACCAAGGCACUGAAGUCCAAUGGCAAGAAAAGAGUCAGGAUAACUGGCGAUGCCCCUGGGUGUAG
rnacentral:lncRNA from 1 species